rnacentral:rRNA from 1 species
GACGAACGCUGGCGGCGUGCCUAAUACAUGCAAGUAGAACGCUGAAGGAGGAGCUUGCUUCUCUGGAUGAGUUGCGAACGGGUGAGUAACGCGUAGGUAACCUGCCUGGUAGCGGGGGAUAACUAUUGGAAACGAUAGCUAAUACCGCAUAAGAGUAGAUGUUGCAUGACAUUUGCUUAAAAGGUGCAAUUGCAUCACUACCAGAUGGACCUGCGUUGUAUUAGCUAGUUGGUGGGGUAACGGCUCACCAAGGCGACGAUACAUAGCCGACCUGAGAGGGUGAUCGGCCACACUGGGACUGAGACACGGCCCAGACUCCUACGGGAGGCAGCAGUAGGGAAUCUUCGGCAAUGGACGGAAGUCUGACCGAGCAACGCCGCGUGAGUGAAGAAGGGUUUCGGAUCGUAAAGCUCUGUUGUAAGAGAAGAACGAGCGUGAGAGUGGAAAGUUCACACUGUGACGGUAUCUUACCAGAAAGGGACGGCUAACUACGUG